AUUGAACGCUGGCGGCAUGCUAUACACAUGCAAGUCGAACGGUAACAGGGUGCUUGCACCGCUGACGAGUGGCGAACGGGUGAGUAAUGCGUCGGAACGUGCCGAGUAGUGGGGGAUAACGCAGCGAAAGUUGUGCUAAUACCGCAUACGUACUGAGGUAGAAAGUGGGGGACCUUCGGGCCUCACGCUAUUCGAGCGGCCGACGUCUGAUUAGCUAGUAGGUGAGGUAAAGGCUCACCUAGGCGACGAUCAGUAGCGGGUCUGAGAGGAUGAUCCGCCACACUGGGACUGAGACACGGCCCAGACUCCUACGGGAGGCAGCAGUGGGGAAUUUUGGACAAUGGGCGAAAGCCUGAUCCAGCCAUGCCGCGUGUCUGAAGAAGGCCUUCGGGUUGUAAAGGACUUUUGUCAGGGAGGAAAUCCCUAGUGCUAAUAACACUGGGGGAUGACAGUACCUGAAGAAUAAGCACCGGCUAACUACGUGCCAGCAGCCGCCGCAA
rnacentral:rRNA from 1 species